rnacentral:rRNA from 1 species
UACGUAGGGGGGCAAGCGUUUGUCCGGGAAUCAUUGGGCGUAAAGCGCGUGUAGGCGGCUUGGUAAGUCUGCUCUGAAAGCCCCGGGGCUCAACCCCCGGGAGGCGGGUGGAUACUGUCAAGCUCGAGUCCGGAAGAGGAGUGUGGAAUUCCUGGUGUAGCGGUGAAAUGCGCAGAUAUCAGGGAGGAACACCAAUGGCGAAGGCGGAUCUCUGGGCCGUAACUGACGCUGAGGAGCGAAAGCAUGGGGAGCGAACAGG